GGCGGACGGGUGAGUAACACGUGGGUGACCUGCCCCGAAGUGCGGCAUAACAGGGGGAAACUCCUGCUAAUUCCGCAUGUGCUCCCACCUCUUGUGGUGUGAGUAAAGAUUUAUCGCUUCGGGAUGGGCCCGCGGUCCAUCAGCUAGUUGGUAGGGUAAUGGCCUACCAAGGCGACGACGGAUAGCCGGCCUGAGAGGGCGAUCGGCCACAGGGGCACUGAGAUACGGGCCCCACUCCUACGGGAGGCAGCAGUUAGGAAUCUUCCACAAUGGGCGAAAGCCUGAUGGAGCGACACAGCGUGAAGGAUGAAGGCCUUAGGGUUGUAAACUUCUAAAAGAGGGACGAUAAUGACGGUACCUCUUGAAAAGCACCGGCUAACUCCGUGCCAGCAGCCGCGGUAAU
rnacentral:rRNA from 1 species